UACGAAGGGGGCUAGCGUUGCUCGGAAUCACUGGGCGUAAAGCGCACGUAGGCGGAUUCCUAAGUCAGGGGUGAAAUCCCGGAGCUCAACUUCGGAAUUGCCUUUGAUACUGUCUGUCUUGAGUCCGGGAGAGGUGAGUGGAAUUCCUAGUGUAGAGGUGAAAUUCGUAGAUAUUAGGAAGAACACCAGUGGCGAAGGCGGCUCACUGGCCCGGUACUGACGCUCAUGUGCGAAAGCGUGGGGAGCAAACAGGG
rnacentral:rRNA from 1 species